rnacentral:rRNA from 1 species
AUUGAACGCUGGCGGCAGGCCUAACACAUGCAAGUCGAACGAGUGGCGGACGGGUGAGUAAUGUCUGGGAAACUGCCUGAUGGCGGGGGCUAACUACUGGAAACGGUAGCUAAUACCGCAUAACAUCGGAUCAGCCCAUAUGGGAUUAGCUGGUAGGUGGGGUAAAGGCUCACCUAGGCGACGAUCAAUAGCUGGUCUGAGAGGAUGACCAGCCACACUGGAACUGAGACACGUGCCAGACUCCUACGGGAGGCAGCAGUGGGGAAUUUUGCACAAGGGGCGCAAGCCUGAUGCAGCCAUGCCGCGUGUAUGAAGAAGGCCUUCGGGUUGUAAAGUACUUUCAGCGGGGAGGCGUUACCCGCAGAAGAAGCACCGGCUAACUCCGUGCCAGCAGCCGCGGUAAUAC